CCUUUGACGUUAGCGGCGGACGGGUGAGUAACACGUGGGUAACCUACCUAUAAGACUGGGAUAACUUCGGGAAACCGGAGCUAAUACCGGAUAAUAUUUCGAACCGCAUGGUUCGAUAGUGAAAGGUGGUUUUGCUAUCACUUAUAGAUGGACCCGCGCCGUAUUAGCUAGUUGGUAAGGUAACGGCUUACCAAGGCGACGAUACGUAGCCGACCUGAGAGGGUGAUCGGCCACACUGGAACUUGAGACACGGUCCAGACUCCUACGGGAGGCAGCAGUU
rnacentral:rRNA from 1 species